UGCGGAGUGGAGCAGUCUGGUAGCUCGUCGGGCUCAUAACCCGAAGGUCAUAGGUUCAAAUCCUAUCUCCGCUA
rnacentral:tRNA from 1 species